UGGAGAAGGAUUAAGUAGUGCUUCUGAUAUUGUGAGCAUCGAUAUUUAUAAUAAAAACAAUGUGAAACUUGAGGUUAAAAGUUUUGAAGUUAAUUUUCCCGUAAUUAAGGUAGAUAGUACGAGUGCGAAUCAGUUACCGGUAUGUCACUAUACACACGAUGAAGAUGUCAUAUUGGCCGAAUGGUUAACUAAAGGCUGUAAAACUCACAAUAAAAACUAUGUCGAAAACGGCGUGAAA